GACGAACGCUGGCGGCGUGCCUAAUACAUGCAAGUAGAACGCAGUUGCGAACGGGUGAGUAACGCGUAGGUAACCUGCCUCAUAGCGGGGGAUAACUAUUGGAAACGAUAGCUAAUACCGCAUACUGUGAGAUGGACCUGCGUUGUAUUAGCUAGUUGGUGAGGUAAAGGCUCACCAAGGCGACGAUACAUAGCCGACCUGAGAGGGUGAUCGGCCACACUGGGACUGUGACACGGCCCAGACUCCUACGGGAGGAAGCAGUGGGGAAUAGUGAACAAUGGGCGCAAGCCUGAAGCAGACAUGCAGCGUGUAUGAAGAAGGCCUUCGGGUUGUAAAGUACUUUCAGCGGGGAGGCGUUACCCGCAGAAGAAGCACCGGCUAACUCCGUGCCAGCAGCCGCGGUAAUC
rnacentral:rRNA from 1 species